GACGAACGCUGGCGGCGUGCUUAACACAUGCAAGUCGAGCGGAGCGGCGAACGGGUGAGUAACGCGUGAGUAACUGCCCCCCUCCCUGGGAUAACAGUUGGAAACGGCUGCUAAUACCGGAUAGUGGGGGAUGACUGUCGUCCUAUCAGCUUGUUGGUGGGGUAGUGGCCUACCAAGGCGGGGACGGGUAGCCGGCCGGAGAGGGCGACCGGCCCCAAUGGGUCGGGAUACGGCCCAAACGCAUACGGGGGGAAGCAGUGGGGAUUAUGGCACAAUGGGGGAAAUCGUGAUGCAGCACCGCCGCGUGGGGGAGGACGGCCUUCGGGUUGUAAACCGCUUUCAGCAAUGACGCGGUAGUGGCAGAAGAAGCACCGGCUAACUACGUGCCAGCCGCCGCGGUAUAC
rnacentral:rRNA from 1 species